UAAAUCAUCUGUGUACUGUAUUCUAUUGUGUUAUGGUCUCUGUGUACUGUUGUUGCUAAUUCUGUGUACUGGAUGCACCUGUCACCAAAACAAAUUCCUAAUAUGUGCAAACAUACUUGGCCAUAAAGCUCUUUCUGAGAGCAAACCUUAGUUAGUAAAUUAGAAAUCACGUUUUAGCCCCACCUUCAAAAAGGGGGAUGACUCUCAAUGGGUUGAACCAGCAUCAAGCUUUUUUCCAUUUAUAUAUUUUAUGUCUUUGUUGUGAAGACAGGAAACAAAUGUAAAAACACACUACCACUGAUGAACUGAGCCGCAUACCUUUCUUGAAUGUGUCGUGCAAUGCGCAGGUGAGAUGAAUGGGGAGAGCAGGCAGUGGGCCAAACCACUGUGAGAGGCAGGGAAGGGGGAACUCAACAGUUUUUAAACUUUAAACACAUUUUUUGACAAAAUUAGUUUAGGUAAACAUAAAUAUAUUUAUGACAAUAGAGAAUGCGAAUUGAAUUGAAUUGAUCGAAGGGGGUACAAACCUUAGAUAGAGGGGGACAUGUCCCCUCCGUUCCCCCCGGGGAUUUACGCCCAUGUGUAUUACGUAGUAUUACUGGGCCCGAUACACUCCCCCAACGAUCGUACAGGUUUCAGAAUUUUUUUUCUAACAUAUAAAACUAUUUCGUAAAAAUUUUUUUUAGUCCCUUAUUGGACGAUUCUCCUGGAAAAGCACGCGGCACACCCAUGCAGAAGCAAGGAGAGCAGGAGAAGGAUCAUGCACAGACGUCACUUUCACUUGUGUGCAGGAGAGAGAGGGAGAGCAUAUGUUUGCAAAGUUCAGGUGUUUGUUUGUUCACUGCAUUCGGGUGAUAAAUGUUACAUAAACGGUGGAUAUAACGCUGGAUUUGGAGAUCAUUUGAAACUGUUAUGCCAGAUGCCGGACAUGAACUGUAUGCAGUGAGUGAAACUGAUGUCUGUGUUUUGUUGGCAAUGCCCUUUAGUUCACCCUACCCCUCCCCCCCACACGCGCUGUAUGAUUUCGGAAAGAAUCGUACAGCUGUAUCUAUCUUUCGUAUCUGUAUCUAUCUAUAAAUGUGAUCAAACUAAAUACUCUUCGAAGAUACGAUGCAAUACUACUCUAUAGGUAAUCAAGAUUAGAAUGAGAUUUGAAGAAACCACGUGUGUUAGGGCCACUUUACUAUUUGGAGCGCUAGAUGGCCCACUUUCGAAACCACAACAAAAGACAAAGCUAAAUGACGUUAUGUAGGAGAGGGGAAUUAUGGGACAUGUCGUUUUCACCAUCCAGAGGCGUAAAGAGAUCGCUCACCAUGUUCACGGACGAAGUAAUGAACUAAUUUUAUCUCAUCGUAAUCAAUUAGCUGCAAGAAACGUUAAAUGUAAUGCUACGUUAGCACGUGACUGAUAUUGGACUUUGUCAAUUGAUUUGGUAGUGUAAUGCUACACAGUUUUACCUGUAUAAAAUCGUAAUACAAUCGUUGUUUAAAAAAUAAGUUGAAUCGAACCCACAGCAUUUCCAUGUAACGUUAUUGGCCACAUAUUUUUGUGCGACAUAUACUGUAUUUCAUAGGGUAUUUCAUGUCCCCAGCAAACAAUGAUCUGGCGGUCCACUGGCGGUUUUUGGGCGGUUUGGACAGAUUCAGUGGCUUACCAAUGACGGACCACCGUUGGCACACUGUCGACAAGCAGAUCAAUGGAAAAAUGCUGUCGGUCUGCCAGCUUUUCUUUGUUGGCACCCCACCAGCGGCUUGCCGCCGCUGGGCAUCUGUUGGUACAGCAGUGGCAAACUGGGCGGCACACAUUAGGCAGCUUGACACAGACGGACUACCAGCGGGACAAUAUUGGCAUUACGACCAAUGUAAAAAUUCUGUCGGUCUGCCAGCGUUUUUUGCGUGGCACCCACCAGCGGCUUGCUGCUGCUGGACCUCUGAUGGUACAGCAGUGGCAAACUUACAAGAAAGGUUUCAUUUAUGUAUUUUUACAGUCAAAGUAAUCUUACGAUGGGAUAUACUGGCUAAAUAUUUUAAUUUAAUAUAAUAGUAGGUUAAUAAUUAUUUAAUGCAAGAAAACUUUAGUAUUAAAAAUAUUUUUUUCCGUUAAAACAAAAGGCUUUUAAUUUGCAAUUUAAUGAGAUUUAAUAGUUUAUGUAGUAUAUCUGGACAUUCAUGUGGCAUUCAAACACUGUAGCGGAGGGAGUAACCAUGGAAAUGGGGCGGCACCAGGAACUGACAAGCAGCAAGCUUGGUUUCUGACGGGUUUCUUCAGUGUUUUCAGGUAGUCACUCAAAUCACACAAAUAAUAUACACAACUGUUGUUGACACUUUUAUUACUUAUAAUUGACACAUAUCUUUUGAAUAUUUACUUAUUUACUUAGAAAGGGUUUUAUGUCUUCAAGAAAAAAGUCUGUUAGCAUCUCUACCGUUUUCAGAAGAGGCUGACGUUAACUCUAUAGCUCUAGCACUUCUUUAUUAAAGUUUGGGCUUCUGAUAAAGUCUUUAUUUUGUAGAUGAGAGGUUUUGAUAGCUUUGUAAAUGUUGUCAGUGGAUUAUUGGAUGUAUUUAUGUGCGAUAUAACCUUCUGUAAUUUACAUGGAGCACAGAAAUGUACUGCAACUAAUUCAAGCGUGUUUUUAUGUUUUAUCGUAAACAGAUAUGGUCAAAAAGUUUUUCUCUGAUUUCAUGAGUGACAAAAUAACACAUUGAUGACAACGUUGAGAUUUCAACAUUUCUGAAAGGAGUUACAGAAAGAUUCUUCCUCGCUGAUGGCCGAGCGCCGUAAACCAUAUGACUAGGAUGCACAUCCUAAAGUAACUAGAGAUUAUAGUAGCUCCAGUUCGGUUCCAGGAUCACUUGUGAAGAAUUCCGAUGACACCAACACUCAUGAAGACUUCAGAUGAUGGCAAAUAUAGAUGGACAUACAAAACUGCCAUGUAUGAUGUAUUGUAAUCACUGCGUAAAUUUGCAGAUUUUCAACCAACUUUGUAUUUUUUCAAUAUUGGCAAUAUAUGUGAACAGACAAUGUUUACUCUUUUCAGAGUUACUCGUAUUGAGAUAUUCCGAUUUAUUUUUCCACAAAACUCUGGAUAAAGUGUUUUGCAUCAUUCACAAUUUACAUAUAUUAUAGACAUUGUACCAGUACAAAGUGGGUUGAAAAUCUGCAAACUUACCCUAUAAUAUGUUAUUUUUAAUAGAACAUGACUUUGAGUACAUGACUUGUAUUAUCUUAGAGCUAUUGCGAUAUGAACUUUAUUUGUUGCCAGAAGAUAUUUCUCAGUGAGUCAUAGCCCCCUCUGUCUGAUUAACUUCUAUAGCAUUGAAACAUGCAUUUUCUGUAAAGCUUCUUUGAAAUUGUUUACAUUUUAAAAAUGGCUAAACCCUUUAAGACAGUUAACCUGGUAUUUCCUGUGGUAAAACCAUCAUGUCAUGUUGAAAUCAAAUCAUGUUUUUUUUCAAACUAAGGUUUUGAUAUAAAAGUUCUACUAUAGUAAUAUUAUAGGAACGCAGGAGUAAUGUGGUAGCAUAUAGUUAUUGAAAAACAUGGGAACAGUUGGAUUACUACUAUGCAAGUAAGACCAUGGUUAUUUUGGGAUUUACUGUUGUUUUUCUACAAUAAUCAUAGUUAUUAUUGGUUUAU